rnacentral:rRNA from 1 species
GAUUAACGCGAAGAACCUUACCUGGGUUUGACAUGCACAGGACGAUCGCAGAGAUGCGGUUUCCCUUGUGGUCUGUGUGCAGGUGGUGCAUGGCUGUCGUCAGCUCGUGUCGUGAGAUGUUGGGUUAAGUCCCGCAACGAGCGCAACCCUUGUCUCAUGUUGCCAGCACGUGAUGGUGGGGACUCGUGAGAGACUGCCGGGGUCAACUCGGAGGAAGGUGGGGAUGACGUCAAGUCAUCAUGCCCCUUAUGUCCAGGGCUUCACACAUGCUACAAUGGCCGGUACAAAGGGCUGCGAUGCCGUGAGGUUAAGCGAAUCCUUUUAAAGCCGGUCUCAGUUCGGAUCGGGGUCUGCAACUCGACCUCGUGAAGUCGGAGUCGCUAGUAAUCGCAGAUCAGCAACGCUGCGGUGAAUACGUUCCCGGGCCUUGUACACACCGAAUCACUAGUGAAUUC